rnacentral:lncRNA from 1 species
AUAAUUUAUAUUUAUUAAAUACUUUUUAAAAAAUUAACAUAAAAUUGAAAGAAGAAAAAAACUAGCCCAGAUCCAAUCUCCCUCAUCCUCCCAGCACUUCAGCCUCGCCCUGCAAACACCACCACUACCCUUUCAAUUUCAUCACUCAGCUCAUUUCCUCCCCAAAAGUACCUACACCAAAUCCCCACAUCUCCUCAGGUGUGGGUUCAUUAAAUAGCCCAAUGAGUGACAUACUCAUGUUGCUGAUUUUGCUGGGCUAGGAACAAAAGCAAGAGCAAGAAGAGUUUGUUCAAACCCAGCAUGAAAAAUUGAUCCUUGGAGCCAAUCAAAAGCAAGACUCGAGGUAUGAAUGAGUACUUCUUUGAUAUUCAACAACACUAGUCUCAAUUGAACGAAUUGACCAGUCUCGCAAGAAAUGGACUCGCAAAUUGGAAUUUGAGGCGGCUGCGGUGACUGUCGAGUCUGUAAAUUCAUGUGCGGGUUCAGAGCCAGGUUCGGCUGCUCCUGCGGCAAGUCCUCAGCAUAGGCUAUGGGUUGAUUUUUUGUGUUUCAUCACUCCGCUCCUUGCACCACUAUCCGUUAGAUGGUCUAUGGUUGUGGGGGAUGGAUGGGUUAAGGAAGGUCGAACAUGCGGUAGGGAUGAGGCUUAGAUCGAGAAGGUUGUGUAGAGGGUGUGUGUGAGAGAGAGAGAGAGAGAGAGGGGGCGGGGAUGAGGGGCUGGGAGGGUGGGGAAGGCGAU